AUGCACUCACACUCACGUUCUCUCACACUCGCUCACGCUCACUCACGCUCUCACGCUCUCUCCCCCCGCACUGACUCACCCCGCCCCGCCCCAGCUCUGAAUCACGGCCCCGGGCGGCCCCGCGGGCCCGGGCGGCCCAGCACCAACGCGACGGGACGGGACGGGACGGGACGGGUCCCGCUACAGCGACCCCCCCGGGGCCGACCCCUCCCCCACAGCCCACCCCCCACAGCCGCUGCCCAGGCCCCGAACUCGCGGCGCUCGGACCACCUCAGCGCGACCCGCACCGCCCGGGUCUCGAACCUGCGGCACCAAAGCCCCGAUCCGGCACAGCCCCGACACCGCACAGCCCCGACCCCCGCGGCCGCACCCCCUCAGCGCGGCCCCCCCCGCCCCGCUCCGUCCUCCCGGGUCUCGAACCCGCGGCCCCAUCCCCGCAGCGGCGAUCCCCGCAGCGCCGCCCGCCCCCCUCCCGUUCCCCGGUCCCCCCGGAGGCGGCGCGGUACGCACCGUGCGGGGCGGCGCUGGGCCAGACGCACGGCAGAGCCCCGCAGCGCGGCCCGUAGCGCGGCCCGCAGCCCGGCCCGCAGCCCGCCUUGCGCAGCGCGCACGCCCCGCGGUUGGUCACGUCGUGCAGCCGCCGCGGGACCGCCAGAGCCUCCACGCAGUCGUACAUCGUCCCGCGCACCCACCGCAGCCACGCGGCCCGGGACGGCCCCGCGGCGGCUGCGGCCCCAACCGGGCACGGCCCCGCCACGGCGGAGCCGCGGAGAGACCGCCCCGGGGUGUGGGGGGGCGGGGAUACGGGGACGUGGGGGAGGUGGGGACAGGGAGGGGGCGGGGGGCAGAGCGGGGGGCGGGGGGACGCGGACGGACGGAGAGGAGGACGCGGGGGGCAUAAGAACGUGGGGAUGGGGAACUGGGGGACGUGAGGCUAUGGGGUCAGAGGGACGUGGGGACAGCGAGAGAGAGACAGAGGGACUCAGAGACGUGGACGUAGGGACGGGGGGACACGGGGACUGGGGGACAUACGGACAUGGAGACGGGGGGAUAUGGGGACAAAGGAAUGCAGGGACGUGGACAUAA
rnacentral:lncRNA from 1 species